rnacentral:tRNA from 1 species
GGGGGUAAAGUUCUAAGGUUGAAUGGCGGUCUCCAGAACCGGCUGGAUGUGGUUCGAGUCCAUAUGCCCCCA